UAAGAGAUGAAAUUUACUGUAGUCUCAAGUUGCAUACGGAGUAUAUGAUGCUCCAAAAUUUGAUGUCAAAUCCAAUAAUCCAUGCUGAUGUCUUCUGCUCGACAAAUGCAGUGAACACUGCUGAUUGUGCUCCUCCGACGAAGCUCAUCCAUGUGUGUCAUGGUUGUAACACCAGCCAAGGAAACUACGGUUCCUACAAUCUUCGCUAUCCCGCGAGGACUUUUUGCAUCAAGAUGCUCCAAUCUAAAUUAGGAGGCAGUGUGUAGGAUGUAAAGCGCGCGUACCUAAGGCAAAUGGCAGUCACAAAUGUCAUUGAAGCAAUGGUAUUGACCAUAGAGGAAACAAAAGUUGGAGAUGUAUAUCUUAAGCUUGUGAAGUACAUAUUAAGAGUUAGGCUGAUCCUGUUGUCAUAAAAGGUUUAUCAUCAGAUAUCAAUUAUUUGACUUCUAUUCAAUUAUCUGCAUUAACUGUUAUCGUUCUUACCCUAGAAGUGAAAGAACAAAUAUCUCUAGGAACAAUGCCCAUGUAAGCUUUGGUCUCAAUUUCCUGUAAAAAAAUCAUGAAAGAAAGUGAAAAAUGUCUCAGUAUUCUUCAUGGAACUGUAUUAAACAUUUGUUGUAAACAAACUAACCUUUCAAGGAAAUAGGCAAAAGGCAACGUGGCUAGUCCACCGACGAAAUGUCGGUACGUAAUGAAAA